UAAUACGGAGGGUGCAAGCGUUAUCCGGAUUCACUGGGUUUAAAGGGUGCGUAGGCGGAUUAGUAAGUCCGUGGUGAAAUCCCCGAGCUUAACUUGGGAACUGCCAUGGAUACUAUUAGUCUUGAAUAUCGUGGAGGUAAGCGGAAUAUGUCAUGUAGCGGUGAAAUGCUUAGAUAUGACAUAGAACACCAAUUGCGAAGGCAGCUUACUACACGUUCAUUGACGCUGAGGCACGAAAGCGUGGGGAUCAAACAGGAUUAGAUACCCUGGUAGUCCACGCCCUAAACGAUGGAUACUCGACAUACGCGAUACACUGUGUGUGUCUGAGCGAAAGCAUUAAGUAUCCCACCUGGGAAGUACGAUCGCAAGAUUG
rnacentral:rRNA from 1 species